AACGAACGCUGGCGGCAUGCCUAACACAUGCAAGUCGAACGAGACCUUCGGGUCUAGUGGCGCACGGGUGCGUAACGCGUGGGAACCUGCCCUUAGGUUCGGAAUAACUCCCCGAAAGGGGUGCUAAUACCGGUUAAUGUCUUCGGACCAAAGAUUUAUCGCCUUUGGAUGGGCCCGCGUUGGAUUAGCUAGUUGGUAGGGUAAAAGCCUACCAAGGCGACGAUCCAUAGCUGGUCUGAGAGGAUGAUCAGCCACACUGGGACUGAGACACGGCCCAGACUCCUACGCGAGGCAGCAGUAGGGAAUAUUGGACAAUGGGCGAUAGCCUGAUCCAGCAAUGCCGCGUGAGUGAUGAAGGCCUUAGGGUUGUAAAGCUCUUUUACCCGGGAUGAUAAUGACAGUACCGGGAGAAUAAGCUCCGGCUAACUCCGUG
rnacentral:rRNA from 1 species